UAAAAAGCGUUUGAGCUUAAUCACUGACUUACACUAAUUCCACUAAUUUACCAAAACCCUUAUCCAAUACUGAAUGAUUCUAUAAUUAUAUAGAAAACUAUAUGCUAGAACUAGUAAUAAGAAGAAGACCUUCUCCAAAAUAUAACUAUAAGCCGAAAUGAACAACUCACCGGCACUUAACGUAACUGAGCCUAUAGUAAUAACACUACAAGAAAACCCUACUUAAACAUGCGUUAACCUUACACAAGUAUAUUUCUGGAAAGAUUUAAAGAGAAGGAAGGAACUAGGCAAACUACUAACCCCGCCUGUUUACCAAAAACAUCGCCUCUUGAAAAAAUAUAAGAGGUCCAGCCUGCCCAGUGACCGAAUAAGUUAAAUGGCCGCGGUAUCCUAACCGUGCGAAGGUAGCAUAAUCACUCGUUCUUUAAAUGAGGACUAGUAUGAACGGCAUCACGAGGGUUAUACUGUCUCCCCUCUCUAAUCAAUGAAACUGACCUCCCCGUGAAGAGGCGGGGAUAACAUUAUAAGACGAGAAGACCCCAUGGAGCUUAAAACCCAGCACCAAUUACCCAAUUAUACUUCAUAUUACCUGGUAAUUUUAUGGCUUCUGGUUUUCGGUUGGGGUGACCGCGGAGUAAAACAAAACCUCCACGAUGAAUGGACUAACACUCCUAAUUAUAGAGCUACAACUCAAAAAAUCAAAAAAUUGACAUAAAUUGAUCCAAUAAAUUUUGAUCAACGAACCAAGUUACCCUGGGGAUAACAGCGCAAUCCACUUAAAGAGCUCCUAUCAAUAAGUGGGCUUACGACCUCGAUGUUGGAUCAGGGUAUCCCAGUGGUGCAACCGCUACUAAAGGUUUGUUUGUUCAACAAUUAAAA
rnacentral:rRNA from 1 species